AGUGACGAGGAGGUGACAAGAAGUUGGAGAGCAAUGCACUGCAACACUGUUGCCCGUGCUGGCCCCUCUGCAGUGCGGAGGCCCAGUACACGCCUCCCUCUGUCCACUCCAAGUCUGGCACCCCGGGGGGGCCAUAAGCAAGCAGAGCUCUUCCCUCCUAAGCGUGGACUGGAGCAGGAAUUUAGGAAAGGCACGAUGGGAACGCAGCAAAGAACAAAAGAAGUGAAAAUCCCUCCCCUCAAAGAGCUAACCUUCUCAUGGAGAAAGAGAGACAAUGCAUAAGCAGCCCAACAGGCAGCUGGCCACAUGGAGAAGAGACAAUGGCGAGGAAAAACCCUGGUGAAGUGGGAAGCCGUUGGUGGGCUCUGGACAGAGGAAGAUGUGUGCUGACUCAUGCUUUAGGAGAGUCCUUGUGGCUGCUGCAUUGGGAAGAGAUAGAGCGGUAGGGUCCUGGAUACACUGUGAGCACGUUGCUGGAUGCUGGUCAUGAGAAAGAGAAGCCAGGGAGGAUCUGAUUUUGGCCUGAGCACCUGGUGAGUGACCUCUGGGUGAUGGAGGAGUUCUCAUUCCCCGCCUGGGCUGGCCCGGCACUCAGCCACACUGCAGCUCGUCCCUGCAUUCCCCCCCUGAGCUCAUAUUUACUGUUUUCAGCAGUGCGGGAGAGAAAGCUGACUCAGAUUUGUUCAGUCAUUUAUUCUCUCAGCAAACAUUUAUUGAGCUCUUGCUAUGUGCCGGACACAUGGUAGGAGCUGGAAGUCUGUAGUGGUCUCUGUCCCCAUGGAGCGCACAGCCCCUCAGAGCAGAGAGGUGUGGAUCAGGUGAAGAUGGGCACAGGGAGUAAGCAAAGGGCUUCGUGGGACAGGAGAAGCACCAGAGGGAGGCCCCUCCACUCCACCAGGAGGCAGGCCAGUGCGAGCUGGAGAGGAUGAGGCUGGGAGGAGGAGGGCAGAGACGUGACAGGGAUGACACACCAGGAGGAUCAGAGGAGCAGGGACGGCGACACCCGGGAGCUUACACGGAGGGCAGGGCAGUCCAAGCAGCCUUCUUACAGAACAGUUGUUUAAGACCAAGUUGAAAGGCCGAGAAGGAGCCCAGGCGGCAGGUCAGGGUGCAGCAAGACCCAGAGGGGCAGUGGCCCGUGUGAGAGACCAGAGAGACCAGGGUGAAGCAAGACCCAAGCCUGACCAAGUGGCCCGUGUGAGAGGUCAGGAAGGCCCUGGGGAGCUCCGGGAACUACCCUGAAGUGUCAGUCAGCUCUUGCUCUGUAACAAACCACCCUCAAAUGGAGCACUUGAAACCACAGCCUCUGAUUUUGCUGGUGAGUCUGUGGAUCAGCAGCUUGGGCUGGGCUCUGUUGAGUGGUCCUCCACCUGCACUUGGCUGGGCUCACUCCUGUGUCUGAGGUCAGUGGGCAGGUUGUUGGAGCCGGGGGCCUUGGGGGGCCUUGGGUGAGAGAGGGCUCCCCACUGCCCCCCUGUGGGCUAGCUUGGGCAGCUGGGCAGGGGUGUGUGUGCAAGGUGCAAGGCCUAGGACGCCCAGGCUCAGAGCAGCACGACCUCACUGCUGCCACUUUCUGUGGAACAGGGUGAGUAGCAGCCCAGCCCAGACUCGAAGGAUAAAGAAGCACUCCAUGUCCGACAGGAGGACCUGGAGGGAUGUCGUUGUACCUGCUGUGGUCGGUGGGCUGGACUCAAGAGUGAGGAAGGGUGUGGGGUGGCUGCAGGGGGCAGAGUCUGUGUUGUGCAAGGGGAAACCGCUUAACUAGGGACUUACUCUCAUGCACAUCUUUCCAAAGUGGGAAUGGAUUGGAGCAGACAAGAGUAGAUGUGGGAAGAGGCCUUGUGGAUGAGAGGCAGGUGGUAUGGACAAAGUCCCAGGGACUGGGGAUGGAGAGGCAGAAAGAGAAUCUACAGGACUAAGUGAUGGUCAGCCGUGGGGCUGGGAAGAGGGUGUUGGGGGUGACCUUUCAGGAUCUGGACCCCAGAGUUCCCUGCCCAGAUGACUUGGAGCCUGCUCCCAGGCCCGACCCUCCCAAAGGGACACUGCAUCACAGGCCCGUUAGGCCUAGGAGGGGAAGGGUGCUGUUUGUGGAGGCGGGCGUGGGUGUGGACAGAGCUUGGGCCCCGGUGUCCAUGCAGGCAUGAGUGCACUAGACCCUGAGACUCGGGAUGGAGCCAGGAAGGGAGGAGAAGCAGGUGGAUGGUGGCUCCAUUUCCCUCUCACCCCGAGUUCCACAAAUACUAGGGGUGAGCCUGCUGGGGUCGGGGAGAGGAAUAACCGAGGGCUGGUGGUGUCUCAGAGACACUCACGUGGAGAUGCAGACAGGUGACUGGAUUCAAAAGACCGGAAUUCAGGGGAGAGAUCCCAGCAGGAGAUAGAAAUUUGAAAGUCACUGGCAAAAAGAUGGAAUACAAGCCACACACACAGAUGGAGUCACCGGGAAAAGACUGAUCCCAGGGCGUAGUAUGAUUCUGAAGGUUUGUUGAAUUUUGAUGAGAGGGAAAGAAAAAAGUUCCUCCCCUCAGAAUGAAUAGGCUGCUUGACACAGGAGUAUAAGAAAAUGGCUGAUUUCAUUGCUGAUGAGAUAAAGAAGGCCUCAAAUCCAUGGCCCGUGGGCAAGGAGGAUGAAAGGAAAAGAAAAAUCUACACAACCAAGCCGUAGUACUGGAACAGCGAUGGGAUCUGUGGACACGGGAGAGUACUUGACAAGCCUCCAGAAAGCAGGAGUCAGAGGCUUGGCGACCCGUGCACGAACAGCAGAGUUCCUCUUCAGGGCAAGACACAUAGCUGCGAUACACAAGCCAACGGCCUGGAGCAGAGGAAGAAGCAAGGCAGGAUGGAAACCCAUGUGGAUUAGCGUCUACCCACUAAUAAACUAAACUAGACAAACCUGAAAACUCAGCGGCCACAUACAGCUGGGACAUUUGUAUGUAAUUGCAGAACCAUGCCAAGCCCCCAGAAGCUUCCCGGCUGAAAAUAGAAAUUACUUAAAAGACUUAUGAGCUUCAAAAUGUACUCCUGAGAAACAGUCCUGAGUGACAGAAACUCUCCAGGGGGAAGAAUUAGACAAAAGGGUUUUAUGACCAGCUUGAGCUGCGUCCCGACAGGGAGCUUCUGUGGCCUGCAGCUGUGGUUCUGUCUCAGCCCGCUGCCCCUGGGCCAAGAGGGCUUCUCUUGGUGCUGGCGUUUUCCUUCUCUAUUUCCCAGGUGAGGAAACUGAGGCCCAGAUAGGGCCAGACAUGUGAAGGCCACACAACUGGCAGGUCUGUGUGUCUGGGGCCUCGCCCCCUACAUCGUUCUGCCUUCCCCAGUGGUCAGUAUCCCCUAGAGGCCCUUAAUGCAGGCCCCACUCCGUGACCCAGCAUCCUUCUGGUGACCACUGCUCUUGGCUCCUGUCAAUGGCUCCUCCCAGGCCCUGGGAGCCAGGCUCCCCGUACCUCUGGUCCCCUGUCCAGCCCUGCCUGCCCGCUCUGGUGGGCAGCCGGUUCCACCCCCAGUAGAUGACAACGCUUCCACCCCCUCAUCGAGCCAUGCUCUGUGCCAGGUAACUAUUGUCACGGCUCCCAUUCCUCACAAGGUAGGAUGGCGAUUCGGGGAAGUCGAGGGCCUUGCUUGAGUUUCCACCUCCAGUGAGGAUGCAGGUGGGACUGCCUGGGGUCAGACCCAAGCCUGACUUCUUGCCCAUCUGCUGGCUCACCUCUCUGACAAGGGCUCAGUGUUCUAUUUUCUUUACAAACAUCUUCCUUCAGGGUGAGGGUUGUGACUUUUUUGUCCAAAACAUGUGGCUCUUCGAGAGCCUGGGCUCUGGCUUCAGGUGACUUGAAUUCAAAUCUGGCCUCUGCCAUCUUUGAGCUGUGUGACCUGGGGUGAGUUCCUCUACUUCUCUGUGCCUUGGUGUCCUUAUCUAUCCAACAGGACCGUGAGUGCUGCAGCUCUAUAAGGCCAUGUGAGCAUUAAAUGGAUUAAUACUGGCAAAGCACUUGCAACAGAGCCUGGCCCGGGCUAAGCUCUUGGUCCCACUGAGAGUCCUGCUGGCUUCACACGGUGGCUGAUGCUCGGCCUCAGACAUCCUUAUCCAGUUUACAGGAAGAGUCUCCAGGUGGUCUCCUGGCUUCUACCUCACCCAACCUCACCCCUCUCCUUUGACUCUCCCCGUGUUGCUGUGGCCACCUUGAUUUCUCAACUACACCAGGCCAGCUGCCUCAGGACCUUUGCACUGUUUCCUCUUCCCUUCACCUUUGAGACUGCUGUCACUUUCUCAACAAGCCCUGGUCCUACUGGCCUGUUCCACAUUGCAGCCUGCAUCUCCGGCCUGAACACAUCACUUGGCUCCACUUCUUAUUUCUCCACAGUAUAUCUCUCUUCUGACCUUCUCUAUCAUUUUCUGUCUGAGUCUUUCUGCUGUCUGUUUUCUAUCUUCCUCCAAUAGACUACAAGCUCCUCGAGGACAGAAAUCUUUGCCUAUGUGUUUGCUGACGUGGCUCAAAUGCCCAGAGAGUAGCUGACACCCAGCAGGGAUGAGUAAUGCUGACAGAACUGGGGAUGUUCUUGAGUGUCCUUGCAUGGAAGGGGGAGGCCUGCACCUCAGACCCCACACUGCCUGACUGCCAUGUGCCCAGACCACAAUCCGAAUCAGACUUCUGUGGCCCUAGCUGUUCUCGCCCCUGAAUUUUCCUGGCUACACGCGCAGUGCUGUAUGGGAAACAUUUGCUUUUGCAAGAAGUGGCCAGAGGCAUGGAAAAAAGCCCCAGCGAGGACCAGGACCAGCUAAAGACCCAUUUCCAGGCAGCUGAAGAGGCCUUGAUCCUGAGGAUGGAGGAUGGCCUGAGGUUGGGUGGGGGUAGUUGGGAGAAGAAGAUGCCAGAAGAUUCGGAGACUGGAUGCCCUGGCAGAGGCCUCCAGUUACCCUAAAUAUAGAGGCCGGGCCCUGUAGGGUUGAGACAGUGAUCCCCCCCUCCCUAGCCCACAAGAGGAAUGGGAGCUGGCAGGGCUGAUGGUAGGCAAAAGGGUUAGGAGUCCGUUAACCCAAUUUUGCCUUCCCCCCCCCCUUUUUUUAAUUUAAGUAGGCUCCGUGGCCAGCACGGAGCCCAGCGUGGGGCUUGAACUCACGACCCUGAGAUCAAGACCUGAGCCGAGAUCAAGAAUCGGAGGUUUAACAGACCGAGCCACCCAGGAGCCCCUGACUCUUUGAUUCUCUUGUCAAAAGUCAAUGAGAUAUGAGAUACCUUGCAGAUAUUAACCCAACUUUUAAAAUGCAAAUACCCUUAGGGCGCCUGGGUGGCUUGGCUGGUUGAGUGUCCGACUCUUGAUUUUGGCUCUGGUGGUGAUCUCAGGGUCCUGGGAUUGAGCCCUGUGUUGGGGUCCACACUCAGCAGGGAGUCUUGCUUGAGGGUUCUCUCCCUCUGCCCCUCCCGCCUCAUGCUCUUUCUCUCUCUAGAAUAAAUAAAAAAAUCUUUUAAAAAAAUACAAAUACCCUUGACCUGACCCCCCUCCUCCCCUUACCCUGCCCAGCCCAUUAUGCUACAGGAGGGGCUGACCGUGAAUGGUGAGUCAUAUGCACAGUGGAACUGUCUGAGAUGUCAGGGAAUGUCCCCUGUGUCCAUAUGGAGCAGCCUCAGGGAGAUUAUUAAGGAUCAUGUGUAUGCGUGCGCACGUGUGUGUGUGUGUUAGAAUCCACGUUGUAUAUUAAAGAUGGCCAUCCUUUUCUGCUGAACGUAUCCGUAGAAAUGGCCACAGAGUGGCCUCUGGGAAGGGCGCUGUGGGAGGGGGUGGCAGUAGGAGGGACUCUGGAUCUUCACUGAACACCAUUUUCUACCUUUGGCUUAUUUGCUGUGAGCGUAAAUUACAUAGAAGAAUCCGCUACACUGAAAACAAACAUAGGCGGCUAUGGUUCCAGCAGUGGGCACGCUGGGCACUCUCUCAUCCACGGUACCAGACUUCCAUUCCCUAGCGUUCUACUCGGGCCUCAGCUCAGGGCAGGCACGUGGUGUGUUCUGUUUUGAACCAGGGAGAGCCCACUCCUAAGUCACUGGGAAGCAGGCUGAGAGAAUGCAGCAGUCCUGGGCCACAUGAGCCCAGGACCUUGGAUCCAGGGCUGAUGGCAGGAUAGGAAGGGCCCUGCACAACUUCCCACUGCCCUCGGCUGGAAGCAAGCCUUUCCGGCUGGCCUGCUUACCUCCACUUCACUACCUGUGCUCAUCAUGCUAUGUACAUACUGGCCUUCUCUCUGUCUCACCUCAGUGCCUUAGCACGUGCCGAGCUCUUGGCUAGCAAUGCUCAUGUGUGACUCUGAGCCUGGCUGGGCGCUUCCAUGUAAAUGCCCCAAAGGAAGCCUGUCUUGAUAUGGCAGUAUCACUAUACCUCCUGCUCCCCUUUUUUCCUGCCUCCGUCUACGGCUGAUUUUCUUCAUCCACAUUACAGGGAGGCUCCCUUCCUGACAGGUAUUUAUGUAAGUGCCUGGAGCGUGAGCUAUGUGGGUCUUGUCUCCUACCUUCUCCUCAGCACCCAGCACACAGCCUGCACUUGGUAGCUACCACGCACACCUUUUCUUUCCUUUCCCUUUUGAUAGUAUCCUUUUCUUUGGCUUUUGUUCUUAACAACGCUGAUUACACCUUACUGAAAGGAUCCCAUGACCCGCGACUGGGUUCUAACUUGUAGCUGGACAGAGGGAUAAAGAUGCCUGCAAACGACCGUGGAGGGAAGGUGUGCCAUGCAGGCCUGCCUCUGUCCCUGCCCCUUCCCUCCCCUUCCCUGAGCACGUGCCCCUUCCCUGAGCAUAUAAUCGGAGAUAAUGGAAUGUCACACAUCUCCCUUCAUCCCGCUGGGUUGAGUUGGACCCCCACCCCAAAUACCAUCCCAGGCUGAGCUCUGCCGCCAUUGUUGUUUGCCUUCACCUUCAGAAUAUUCCAGCAUGAUCCCCCUUAACCGAAAUGACACACCUAGGUGGUGACACACCCAGGAUGCCCUGGAAUGGAUGGACCAGCCAGGAAAAUAUUUAACAGGGGGUGAGCUGCCCUGUCCCGACCCCCAGGGGUCCCCUGCUCCCAGCCAUGCCUCUGCCCUGGGCUGCCAGUAACAGAGGGAAGCACCUCACACAGCCAGCUCUGCCCCGGCAUUCUGACCAGUGGCGGCCUGCAUCCUCCAGCGGGCAGAUACUCUGAGUGUCCUCCCUGCUCUCAACGCCUGUGUUGAGCAGGGCUCAGCUCCAGGCCUUGUGCCUUGACAUCUGCUCUCUCCACUCCACCCCACCCUGUUCGCUCCACCACAGUUUUUCAUUUGUGUUUUUCCAUGAGCCUUCAAAGAGGAAACAAAACCUUUUCCUUACCGGAGCCCAAUCCAAUCCCUGGCUAGUCCAGAGGUUCCACCACCCUUAUUCCUAAAGCCAUUUGCAUUUCCUCUGCCACUACUUGGUCAGAGCCAGCACCAUCUCCCGCCGGGCUCCUCCACUCCCAUCUGUCUCCUCCUCAGUGGCCACUCUCCACUCACCACCCCCCUUCUCUGCCCUCUGCCUAGUCCUGGAGGCUGACCUUGCACCUCACCGGGGCGCCUUUGCGGUUCGGCCAAUAGGAGGCGCUGCAGGCAAUGGGAGGCGGGAGCAGAGAGGGGUAAGGAGCUUUCCCCAGCGCCAGGGUUCUGACCUGCUGCUGGCCCCUGUCUUCCCACUCCAGUCCUCCGGCUCCUUCUGGCCUUGGUGGGAGUCACUGUUUGCUGCACUGCCCCUCACCUGCCCCACCUCUGUCAAGAGCCCUAUCAUUGAUUCAAGUAUCACCCGUUUGAGUGCAUUGUCUUGUCCCUCGGGGACACUGGUGGACUGAUACGCCCCAUACACUCCCUUUUGCAUACAACAGCAGAACAGUCUUUUUAAAACCUAAAUCUGGUCCAGUCUCUCUCUCCCCUGAGCACUUCAGUGGACUCCCAUUGCUCUGAGAAUACAAACACAAAUCUUUAUUACCAUCGACAAUAGUGCCUGUUAAAUUGCCAGUUGCGGGCCCUUAGCGGGUCAGGAGGUUAAUUGCAUGGGUUGCAUUUUUUUUUACUUUCUUUUUUCUCCUCGGUUUAAUGACAUGAGGGCAGAGUAGACCGAGUACAAAACACCAGCGCUCACUGCAGGGAGCCCAGGUUAGGUGAUGGUGUGAGACUUUUGGUAACAUGCAAGCUGGGUGAGCCAGAAGGUGAUGUCUCUCUGUGGGUUGUGAUGCCAAAUGUUGGAAUCACCGGACUUCCUUCACCUCCUCUCCACGCCUUGGCCUCAUCCCCACAUCUCCCUGGCUCCCAGCCUCUGCUUCAUGUCAGUGCCUCAAACCCACAGGCUCUUUCCUGCCAGGGGCCUUGGCAUUUGCUGUUCCUUUGGCCAGGAUUGCCCUUCCCUUAGUUCUUCCCAAGAAUUCCUUCUCACACCAAUGUCACCUCCGAGAGGCCCUCUCAGGUUGGCCCACCUGGAGCAGCUUCCCUCUGUCUGUCGCCAUCCUGGGACAUGGGUGCAUUAGAAUCUCCAUGAGGACAUAAAAAGCUGUUGGGUGAGUAUUAUUAACUGUUCCCAGCACUUAUUCUCAUGAGUCGGUAUGAGGUCCAUUCCCUUGUCUCCUUGCUUAUCUCCACUAGAAUAGAAGCUCCCAGAAGGUAGGCCCUUGUCUCUUGCUAACUGCUGUAUCCCCAGACCAGUGCAAGGCACUCAGUAAGUGCUCAAUAAAUGCCUGCCAAGUGAAUGAAUGGAUGAACUGCUUCUGUAGCUGAGAACAGGGAGGUUUCAGGGAAGCGUCUCCCAGGAUGCCUUGCAUUUUUGACCACACUGGGUGGUGGCUGGACUCAGAGGAGUGGGUACAGGUGAGGAUGGAUGCAGGCCCUUGAGCCUUGGACCUCCGGCCCCUUGCCUGCCCCGGGCCAUGCUCAUGUCAGCGCUGACAGCCUGGAGGGUCUAACACUGCCCUGAUCUAACAGCUAGAGCACCCUCCAGGUCCCUGCUCCAGGGGACAGGUCCCUUCAUGUGGCAGAAAGCUCGAGGACAUGCACCAGGAGAGCCUCCAUCCUGCCUCUGCCAUUUGCAGGCUGUCACCAGGCACCAGACCUCUUUGCAGCCCAGCCCCUCAGCUGAGAAAUCAAGAUGGGAAGUACUACUUAUUGUGAGGACCGAGUGAGGCAAUGUGCUCUGCAGCUGGCCCACUGAAAGACUGGUGUGCAGUUGGACCCUGAUAAUCAAUCACUCCCAAUUGUGGGGAGAGUGGGUGCCCGCCAGUCUGGCCAGCUGAAGAAGGAUCUCCUUGUCCCAUGAUGGCUACCCAUUACAUGUCGGUGGUGGUUCCUGAAAGGCCAUGGUCUGGGCCCCCUCACCUGGUACCUUCUUCUGAAUCCUCUUCUGUGUAAGCAGAUGCCUCUGGGAAAGCUGAGCAAUGGCGCUUGGCCUCACAGAAGAGAGUUUUUCUCUUCUUGAAGGUGGGGGUUGUGUAAAAGGCCAGCACAGGACAGGAGAAAGUGCUGAAGCAGGGAGAGCAUGCCGGGAAGGACAGGCCUCCAGGGAUGGCCGGCCUUGAUUUUUAGUCUCAGCACACACCCAUCCGAGAAAGUUCCAACUGACCUCAAGAAGCUAAUGAGAACAUGGAACUGCGGCAGUGCUAGAAGGUGAUGUGUCAGUAUGCAGCAGGAUGAAAUGUGCCUACGCCAUAUGGAACCCUGGGAGAGAGGAAUUUGCUAAACAUGACACCAAAGACUAGAAUCUGUAACUGCAUUUGGUUACAUCAAUCUAAACAAAUCUUAUAACUCCAAGAACGUGGUUGGCCACAUCCAUGGUGCACAGAAUGCAAGGAAAAGAAAGAUCAGUAUCACCAUAUGAAGUGGAGGAUAGAAAUAGGCACUUCACAAAGACAUAAACCACCGGUAAGAUAUAAACAUAGGAAAAAAUUCAAUUUCACCAAUAAUCCAAGAGAUACAAAUGCAAACAAUGGCACUUUUUAAAAACCUGCCACACUGGCAAAAACUGCCCAACAUUUUAUCACUUUUUAUAAAGUGCUAAUACUCAGUACUGAUGAGAAUAUGGAAAAUGGGGAUUGGGAUUCACUGAUGGCGGGGAUCUAGAUUAAUAUAAUUUUUGGAGGACAAGUUGGUCAAAAGGUAUCAAAACUAAAAAUACCCUUUCAUUCAGAAAUCUCACUUUUCAAAUUUAUCUUUAAGAAAUUGUAGGAUAGGGGUCCCUGUGUGGCUCAGUCGGUUAAGCAUCUGCCUUCAGUUCAGGUCAUGAUCUCAGGACUCUGGCUGGGAUCGAGCCCCAUGUCGGCUCUCUGCUCAGCAGAGACCCUACUUCUCUCUCUCCCCUGCUUCUCCUCUCUCUCGCUAGCUCUCUCUCAAAUAAAUACAUAAAAUCUUAAAAAAAAAGAAAUAGUAGGAUAAGUACACAAAGAUGUAUUGCAGUUUUGUAUAUGAUAAUGAAAAAUUGGAGGAUUGCUGUCUUGCACACCUGAAACUCAUAUAACACGUGUCAACUAUACUUCAAUAAAAAUAAAGAUGCAUUAUUUGUAAAAAAUUUUUUUUGCUAAAUAAAUAUAGAGUACUAGGCAACUUGUAAAAGUAACUGCUAUUAAUCUAUCCUUAUUGGUACAGAAGAAGUACACAAUCUAUUGUUCUGUUUGAAAAAGUCUCCAGAAGCAACCCAUUGUCCAUCGAUGGAUGAAUGGAUAAGCAAAAUGUGAUGGAAUAUGGUUCAGCCUUUAAAAGGAAGGAAAAUGUGUCACAGGCUACAACAUGGAUCAACCUUGAGGACAUUACGGUUCCUGAAAGAAGCCAGUCACAAGAGAACAAAUCCUGCAUGAUUCCACUCACAUGAGGUCCCUAGAGUCACCAGACUCACAGAGACAGAAAGUAGGGUGGUGGCUGCCAGGGGCUGGGGGAGGGGACUGAGGAGUUUGUGUUUAAUGGGGAUGGAGUUUCAGUUUGGGGAGAUGAGAAAUUUUGGAAAGAGACAGGGGGAUGGCUGCACAACAAUGUGAAUUUACUUAAUGCUGCAGAACUAAACACUUAAAGGGUUAGGAGGAUUGAUUUUAUGUUAUGGUUUUGUAGCCACAAUUUUUAAAAAGUCUGUAAGAUAGUAUGUAUGAUGUGUUCCCAUUUUUGUAAUAAGCAAGAAAAUGUUAACAAUGAUGGGAUUAUGAAUGACUUUUUUUUUAUACCUGUCUGUAUUUUCUGAUUUGGGGGCAGUGAGAACAUUUACUAUUAUACGAAUACAAAAACUAUGAAAAAAUAACAUAUGAAAAAGCUGCAAAUUCAGAUCAUAUUUUUUUCUGGUUAUAAAAGUAGUAUACGUUCAUUGUGGAAAAUCUGGAAAAGUAAAAAAUAGAAUGCUAAAAAAAGAUCACUGAGCCUAGAGCCCAAUGUGGGGCUCGAUCUCAGGACAGAGAUCAUGAUACUGAGGUCAUGACCUGAGCCAAAAGCUUAACCAUCUGAGUCACCCAGGUGCUCCUAAAAAGAGAUCUCUUGUAAUCCCAUUAUUCAAUGUAAAUACUUUUAAAAAUCAUGGAUGUGAAUACUUCUUUAUGUAUUUCUAAUGUUUUCUAUAAGCCUGUUUUUCUUUACAUAAUCAUAUAUAGAAUAAUUCCCAUGUAAAUUUUGCAUCCGCUUUUCUUUAACUUUUAUCAGUAGUCUUGUGAAAACCCGAUUUAAAUUGAUAAAUAAUAUUCCACUGCACAGAUGGGUUGUAGUUCAUUAUCACUCUCCUGUGGUUGGACAUUCAGUGGUUUCUAAGUUUUCUCAGUUGUAAGCGAUGCUGGAAAGAGCAAGCCUGUAUAUAAAUCUGCCUACAGAUCUGAUCAUUUCUUUGUAAUCAGUUUCUACAAGUAGAUUUACAGACUGAAAAGUGAUGUGUAUAUUGCAAGGUUGCUUUGCUUUCUGCAAAUGUACCUCUUUACACCAGUGUUAAAACUUAAAAUGUCCUUGUCAGUUGGAUGAAAAGGGUAUCUUGUUUUAAUUUGUGUUUCUUUGAUCAGUUGUGAGGUUAGAAAUUUCCCUGUGUGUGCACUGGCCACUUGCAUGUUCUGUUUAUGUCUUUUUCCCACUUGGGUCACCAGUGUCCUUAUUGUGUUUUGAAAUGAGGAAUUUCCCCUUGAAUCUGGCAAGUGGCUAGUGUCCGGCUGGUGUGGUGCCAGCCCACUGCACUCGUGUCCUCAUGUUAAGUCCAGAAUCCUUGCACAGACUGCCCCCCACCCGUGGAGCCUGCCCAGUGGGUGCCGAUCAGCGGUCACUUCCCUGCCCCACUGCUGUUUCCUUGCUGGUGACAGCUAGUGAUGCCCUGGACUAAUAGGACAGGCACCCUGGAGAAAGGGGAUGGGAACCUCAGGUUCAAGGUUGGCCUGAAAAACACAUUAAACCUUGAGGACUUGGGCUCCUGGGUGGCUCAGAUGGUUAAGAGUCUGCCUUCGGCUCAGGUCAUGAUCUCAGGGUCCUGGGAUCGAGUCCCGCAUCGGGCUCCCUGCUCCUUGGGAGCCUGCUUCUCCCUCUGCCUUUCUCUCUCGCUCUGUCUCUCAUGAAUAAUAAAAAAAAAAAUCUUUAAAAAAAAAAACAAAACCUUGAGGACUUUAACCAGGCGGGAGUGACUCAGUAACUCCCUGUUAGCCAUCAACACCAACAUCUGCCAGCCAGAGCGAGGGGGGGCCAGAUUUCACUGGAAGGUGAUCUUGAUCGGUCUUCAUUUCUGAAUGUGAAUUCAAUUCCUUCCAUUGAAACUAUGGAAUUUUUCUCUUAGAAUUUCCAUCUGUUGUUUUGGUUUGGUUCUCAGGAUGUUCUGCUACUCGGUCUUGGUUGGGUUUUCAU